rnacentral:rRNA from 1 species
GAAUAUUGGGCAAUGGAGGCAACUCUGACCCAGCCAUGCCGCGUGCAGGAAGACGGCCUUCUGGGUUGUAAACUGCUUUUGAUCGGGAACAAAGAGCCCAUGCGUGGGAAGUUGAGUGUACCGAUAGAAUAAGCACCGGCUAACUCCGUGCCAGCAGCCGCGGUAAUACGGAGGGUGCAAGCGUUGUCCGGAUUUAUUGGGUUUAAAGGGUGCGUAGGCGGCUUUUUAAGUCAGUGGUGAAAUCCUACAGCUUAACUGUAGAACAGCCAUUGAUACUGAAGAGCUUGAGUACAGACGAGGUAGGCGGAAUUUAUGGUGUAGCGGUGAAAUGCAUAGAUACCAUAAAGAACUCCUAUUGCGAAGGCAGCUUACUAGGCUGUAACUGACGCUGAGGCACGAAAGCGUGGGGAUCAAACAGG